rnacentral:rRNA from 1 species
UACAGAGGGUGCGAGCGUUAAUCGGAAUUACUGGGCGUAAAGCGUGCGUAGACGGUUAUCUAAGUCGGAUGUGAAAGCCCCGGGCUCAACCUGGAGACGCCACUCGAGACUGCCAUGACUAGAGUCCGGUAGGGGACCACGGAAUUCCUGGUGUAGCGGUGAAAUGCGCAGAUAUCAGGAGGAACACCGGUGGCGAAGGCGGUGGUCUAGGCCGGCACUGACGCUGAGGAGCGAAAGCGUGGGUAGCAAACAGG